rnacentral:rRNA from 1 species
AUUGAACGCUGGCGGCAUGCCUUACACAUGCAAGUCGAACGGUAACGGGCCUUCGGGUGCCGACGAGUGGCGAACGGGUGAGUAAUGUAUCGGAACGUACCUUUCAGUGGGGGAUAACGUAGCGAAAGUUACGCUAAUACCGCAUAUUCUGUGAGCAGGAAAGCAGGGGAUCGCAAGACCUUGCGCUGAUUGAGCGGCCGAUAUCAGAUUAGCUAGUUGGUGAGGUAAAGGCUCACCAAGGCGACGAUCUGUAGCGGGUCUGAGAGGAUGAUCCGCCACACUGGAACUGAGACACGGUCCAGACUCCUACGGAGGCAGCAGUGGGGGAAUUUUGGACAAUGGGGGGCAACCCUGAUCCAGCCAUGCCGCGUGAGUGAAGAAGGCCU